rnacentral:misc_RNA from 1 species
UACAUAGAAGAGAAGGAGGAAUGAACAAGAUCUGCAUUCUUUUCUAGAACAGAAAAACUCAAUACUGGCACUUAAAAGGAAAUGCAAUAUAUGACUGCAUAAGAAUCUCAGCUUUUGAUAUUCCUGAAAUGGAGAAUUCCCAAACAUUAAAAAGCUGGAGGACUGGAAUUGUAUGACUUCAUAUCUUAAAUGUCUUAAUAACUGGUGAUAAAGUAAAUUUUGUUCUUCCUCAUGUUGACUUUGCUUGUCAGUGGUACUACUUACUAGGAUUAAUGCUGAUAAAAUGUUCUGGGAGAAGAGAUCUAAUACAACAUUAUGCCCUAUGUGUGUCUUAUGUGCUAUAAUAGUAUUGAGUCUCAUGCUCAUCUCAUUUUCACAAUGCUUGUUCAUUUGACUGUUUGGAAUAGACUUUUGAUCUUUUGAAUAGUGGCUGGAUUGCCUUCCCAGCAAUGAAAUUUAUGGUAUGUCACAAAGGAAA